CCUACGGGGGGCUGCAGUGAGGAAUAUUGGUCAAUGGGCGAGAGCCUGAACCAGCCAAGUCGCGUGAAGGAAGACUGUCCUAUGGAUUGUAAACUUCUUUUGUACGGGAAUAAAGUGGGCUACGUGUAGCCUUUUGUAUGUACCGUACGAAUAAGGAUCGGCUAACUCCGUGCCAGCAGCCGCGGUAAUACGGAGGAUCCGAGCGUUAUCCGGAUUUAUUGGGUUUAAAGGGUGCGUAGGUGGAUUGAUAAGUCAGUGGUGAAAGUUUGCAGCUUAACUGUAAAAUUGCCGUUGAAACUGUCGGUCUUGAGUGCAAAUGAGGUAGGCGGAAUGCGUCGUGUAGCGGUGAAAUGCUUAGAUAUGACGCAGAACUCCGAUUGCGAAGGCAGCUUACUGGGAUGCAACUGACACUGAGGCACGAAAGCGUGGGUAUCAAACAGGCUUAGAUACCCCGGUAGUC
rnacentral:rRNA from 1 species